GGUUUGAUUAUGGCUCAGAUUGAACGCUGGCGGGAUGCUUUUACACAUGCAAGUCGAACGGCAGCACGGACUUCGGUCUGGUGGCGAGUGGCGAACGGGUGAGUAAUGUAUCGGAACGUGCCUAGUAGCGGGGAUAACUACGCGAAAGUUAUAGCUAAUACUGCAUACGCCCCUUGGGAAAGCGGGGGACCUUCGGGCCUCGCACUAUUAGAGAGCGGCCGAUAUCGGAUUAGCUAGUUGGUGGGGUAACGGCCUACCAAGGGGCGACGAUCCGUAGCUGGUUUGAGAGGACGACCAGCCACACUGGGACUGAGACACGGCCCAGACUCCUACGGGAGGCGCAGUGGGGAAUUUUGGACAAUGGGGGAAACCCCUGAUCCAGCCAUCCCGCGUGUGCGACGAAGGCCUUCGGGUUGUAAAGCACUUUUGGCAGGAAAGAAACGGCACGGGGUAAUACCCCGUGCAACUGACGGUACCCAGAAUAAGCACCGCCAACUACGUGCCAGCAGCCGCGGUAAUACGUAGGGUGCAAGCGUUAAUCGGAAUUACUGGGCGUAAAGCGUGCGCAGGCGGUUCGGAAAGAAAGAUGUGAAAUCCCAGAGCUUAACUUUGGAACUGCAUUUUUAACUACCGAGCUAGAGUGUGUCAGAGGGGAGGUGGAAUUCCGCGUGUAGCAGUGAAAUGCGUAGAUAUGCGGAGGAACACCGAUGGCGAAGGCAGCCUCCCUGGGAUAACACUGACGCUCAUGCACGAAAGCGUGGGGAGCAAACAGGAUUAGAUACCCUGGUAGUCCACGCCCUAAACGAUGUCAACUAGCUGUUGGGGCCUUCGGGCCUGGUAGCGCAGCUUAACGUAGUAAGUUGACCGCCCGGGGAGUACGGUCGCAAGAUUAAAACUCAAAGGAAUUAUCGUGACCCGCAAGCGGUGGAUGAUGUGGAUUAAUUCGAUGCAACGCGAAAAACCUUUACUCAUCUUUGACAUGUUCCGGAAUCCCGAAGAGAUUUGGGAGGCGUCGUAAGAGAACCGGAACACAGGUGCUGCAUGGCUGUCGUCAGCUGCCGAUGUUAAGAAGCCCCGCAACGAAGUAACCUUUGUCAUUAGUUGCUACGAAAGGACACUCUAAUGAGACUGCCGGUGACAAACCGGAGGAAGGUGGGGAUGACGUCAAGUCCUCAUGGUCCUUAUGGGUAGGGGCUUCCACACGUCAUACAAUGGUCGGGACAGAGGGUCGCCAACCCGCGAGGGGGAGCCAAUCCCAGAAACCCGAUCGUAGGGUCCGAUCGCAGUCUGCAACUCGACUGCGUGAAGUCGGAAUCGCUAGUAAUCGCGGAUCAGCAUGUCGCGGUGAAUACGUCUCGGAAGUCUUGCACACACCGCCCGUCACACCAUGGGAGUGGGUUUUACCAGAAGUAGUUAGCCUAACCGUAAGGAGGGCGAUUACCACGGUAGGAUUCAUGACUGGGGUGAAGUCGUAACAAGGUAG
rnacentral:rRNA from 1 species